rnacentral:misc_RNA from 1 species
UGCUGGUCCCUCGUUGGACCUUAGCUCGUUCGUAAUACAUUAGCCGCUCUAAUUCGAAUUCGGAUUGACUCAGUGUAAUAGACUAUUCGCUGAGGACACUCUUCGGAGUGGCCGAACCAUCGAUACUUGGGCAGCUUCCAACUCUUGUAGUCAACUUUAGAUUAGACCUCAGAUCAGGCAGGAUUACCCGCUGAACUUAA